GAUGAAGAACGUAGCGAAAUGCGAUAAGUAAUGUGAGUUGCAGAAUUCAGUGAAUCAUCGAAUCUUUGAACGCACAUUGCGCCCUCUGGUAUUCCGGGGGGCAUGCCUGUUCGAGCGUCAUUAUAACCACUCAAGCUCUCGCUUGGUAUUGGGGUUCGCGGUUUCGCGGCCCCUAAAAUCAGUGGCGGUGCCUGUCGGCUCUACGCGUAGUAAUACUUCUCGCGAUUGAGUUCGAUAGGUCUACUUGCCAGUAACCCCCAAUUUUUACAGGUUGACCUCGGAUCAGGUAGGGAUACCCGCUGAACUUAAGCAUAUCAAUAAGCGGAGGA
rnacentral:misc_RNA from 1 species